ACGUAGGGGGCAAGCGUUGUCCGGAAUUACUGGGCGUAAAGCGCACGCAGGCUGAAUUAUAAGUCGGUAGUAAAAGGCGGGGGCUCAACUUCCGUAUAUCUAUCGAUACUGUAAAUCUAGAGUAUGUGAGAGGGAAGCGGAAUUCCCGGUGUAGAGGUGAAAUGCGUAGAUAUCGGGAGGAACACCAGUGGCGAAGGCGGCUUCCUGGCUCAAUACUGACGCUCAUGUGCGAAAGCUAGGGCAGCGAACGG
rnacentral:rRNA from 1 species